UUUUUAAUAUAAGUAUGUCCUAUGUGAUAUUUGGGAUAAACUUAUACUAAAA
rnacentral:pre_miRNA from 1 species